rnacentral:rRNA from 1 species
GAUGAACGCUGGCGGCGUGCCUAAUACAUGCAAGUCGAGCGAACGGACGAGAAGCUUGCUUCUCUGAUGUUAGCGGCGGACGGGUGAGUAACACGUGGAUAACCUACCUAUAAGACUGGGAUAACUUCGGGAAGCCGGAGCUAAUACCGGAUAAUAUUUUGAACCGCAUUGUUCAAAAGUGAAAGACGGUCUUGCUGUCACUUAUAGAUGGAUCCGCGCUGCAUUAGCUAGUUGGUAAGGUAACGGCUUACCAAGGCAACGAUGCAUAGCCGACCUGAGAGGGUGAUCGGCCACACUGGAACUGAGACACGGUCCAGACUCCUACGGGAGGCAGCAGUAGGGAAUCUUACGCAAUGGGCGAAAGCCUGACGGAGCAACGCCGCGUGAGUGAUGAAGGUCUUCGGAUCGUAAAACUCUGUUAUUAGGGAAGAACAUAUGUGUAAGUAACUGUGCACAUCUUGACGGUACCUAAUCAGAAAGCCACGGCUAACUACGUG